UGAACUGAUCUGUGCUCUCAUGUACAAAAUAUAGUAGUAACUGAAGACUUCGAUUCUGGGUAUUGUCUUUUCUCUGCAAGCAACACCUGACAAAUUUGUGUCUGGUCGUGUAGGGAGAAUGUAAGUGGGCCCCCUAUCCCUAUUUUAAGAGGAGAAGGCUAGAGGCAGCAAAAUCAAAUAUUCUCACUUGUCUUGGUGUAAGUAGGCAUAGUUUUCCUACCUGGGAAGAAAGACUUUGCAACUGAGAUAAACAAGAAAAGUGAGGUUUUUCUUGGUGUUUAAAAAUGCGAGAUGAAAGAUUACAUGAGAAAAUUGCUGUUUCACUCCCAUGAGCAGGCUAUUAACUCAGUAACAUUGAUGCUUCUGGGAUAUUUUUUUAUCUCAAAUAACUUUUGUUCUUUUUAUUUUGUGAGCCAAUCCUUCUAGAGUCUGAAAAUUCCCUCACAGUCUUCUUUACAAGCAAAAGCCUUUCCUAAAAUCCCCUUGUUUUUGUUUUCCUUUGAUAAGUAAAGGGCUCGGAGACGCACAGGUGACUCGCCUUCUGCCCUGAGUUUGCCUCUUCAGAUGAACCUCAGUCGGCAAUUAGAGCUUUCACCCUGGCUGAACACUUUGCCUCUCUGGUUCUUUCUCUGAGCCUUGGUCAAUCCGGUUCUGAUUUUGAUUAGCGCAUAGCUGUUUCAUUUCUCAAUUGGUGGAAGCAAUGUGGAGAAGCUGAUUUUUCUGUGGUCUGACCUUCUGAUUCUCUCUCAAGCAGCCAUCUGCUUUUUUGUUUGCCUGUCUUGAGGCGUGUUAAGAAUCCUUACUGGCAUUUCAGAUCUAGGUUUACCCAGGCCAAUACCUGGUCUUGCCUUGAGAUUAAGAAGUUCACGUUGCCGCCUACACCCACUGAUGGUGUUUCUUCUGCCAGAGGUAGAAUCCUCCAUGUUGCUUUAUUUACACAGCGCUUAAAGAAGCUAAAAAAGGCAUUCAAGGAAAAAGGUUUUUGUGCCUGCUUGAAAGAUAGUGGCUCCCUUCCAUCCUUUGUGUUCUGACCACUCUCCUUCCAAAGCUGCUACGACAAAUUGGGGUGAAGCAAGAUAAUGUGUAGCUAUUUAUGAAGCCAGGAUCACUCUGCCAAUUUCUGAGAAGACAAAAGAGAUUUCUCUCUGGUGAAAUCACUUCAGUGACUAAGAAAGGCUUCCCCCACUGGCCUCAGCCAGGAUGAGGGCCCCGGGACACGCAUCAUUGUCGGCAGGGCUUUGCUUUGAGUGACGCAAGACCCAGGCAGCAACCUACCUCACCUCCUCUGAAGACACAGGACUUCCUGCCAGCUCCCAAAACACCCUUGAAGUGGUGGGCAUCGUGACUCACAGUCAGAUGAGGAAGGAGGAGAUGAGAGAACAUGUGGAAUGAAGGAUGGAGAAGUGAACCAACAAGAUGAAGGGAACUGAUAUUACGUAAGUAAAAGAAACCAGGAAGAUAUAUUUCCAUUGGGGUGUAUUGAGUUGGGAUAUAUUGGUUGGAGUGGAGGAGAUGUAAAGCAAGUGUGAAAACAGAAUUCUAGAUCAAGAAGCCACAAAAAUGAAGAUCUUUAUCUCAUUUCCUCAUACAUUGUUGACUUUGUUCAGAAGAUAGGGAGAAUUUUUUAUUUCCAAAAUGCAUGGACUCGAUUGGAGUGCAGUGGUUAGUCAGAUUAAUGGGUAUUGCGCAGCUGUCAUUUGGGUUACAGAAAAAUCUCCUACCAUUGCCUACAUUGAUAUCUUGACUUGUGUUUUAACCUUUGUUUUUGAAGAAGACAUCUAACAGGCUUAUUGUAAAUUUUAUACAUACAUCACUGCAGCCUUUUUCUUAAACAUUCUUGAAGUCAAAGCAUUAGGAAUUAGGAAGCAGUUUUCUUGUGAAAAGCUUAGCUAAUCAAUUCAUCCAUUUGAAUGGAAAAAAUAUUUGAGCAGCAAAUUAAUGGUGAGGAAUAACUAUAAGUCAGCUGCCCAAUUAGCACCAUGGCACAGUGCCUGACAUCUGGAUCUGUACCAAACAGCAUCAAUAUCAUCACACUUAAAAUUAGAAAUCAAUGAGCCAGAAAAAAACUGUUGUUGUGCAAGUCCCAUAAAAUUAAAUUGUUCUAAUAUAUUAAAAUAAGUUCUGCACGAUGAAGGAAAAGGAGAAGUUUUUUCUUGUGAGCUAGUAUUGUAAGGCUACAAAUGAACUUCCUGGAUUAAGUCUGGUUCUUUUCUGUCUUUCUCAAAGCUUUUUUUCUUUUACUCAUAUCUGUAUUUUCUCUUGGACAUAGUCAAUGUCAUCCGAUAGAAGUCAAAAGACACAGGUUUACUGGAAACAAAAUAUGAAUAAUUGGAUCUCUCAAGGUGUAUGUUGACUAUACUUGAGGAAGGUAAGUUGAGUACUUAUGUAGUAAAGAAAAAUCUCAACUUACAAAACUAUUAAAAAAAAAAAAGAAUUCAACUGCACUCUACAUAGGAAAAGAAGAAAAUAGUCUGUAAAAGAGAAACAUAGCAAUAUUAAUUUGAUUCUGAGGUUACCUAAAUCAAGGAAACCAUAUAUGUUGUAUAAGGAAUUUUCAUGUAAGCCGAAAGUUAACGAGUUCUAUACAAUUUAUUCCUUAUUCUGUUUUGUUUUUUAUAUUCAACUAAAAUCAAAAUUCUUCUUUUGAAGAAUAAUUACAUUUUAAUCUUUUUGAAUUUUUAAA